AAGAAGCAGGCCCAGCGGAGGGUGUGAGGGACCCACCUGUGUCUGGGCUGGCCUCUGGGCUGGGGCCAGGGCAAAAGAGGAGGCCAAGUCUGGGGUGCAUGGCCAGAUGGUGACUUUUGGGAAAUGUUAAAAGAAGUGCAAGGUGAGGGAUGGCUGACUUUGUGAGCCAAGUUGUGAGGGCUGUGUUCGCCUUGCUAAGCAGUUUAGGUUUUAUUCUGGAGGCAGGGGGGAGCCAGGACAAGUUCUGAAGCAAAAAAGGGACACUAGUCUAUAUGCAGUGUCUGCAUUUUAGGACAAUCCCUCUGGCUGCCGUGGGGUGAGUCUUUGGAGAGGAGACAGGCAGCAGGAGAUUCUGACCUGUGAAGUGAACAGUUGAGCAUGGCCUGGAGAGGAAAGGAGAGACAUCGAGGAGGUGAGAUCCGCAGGUGGCUUGUGAGAUGUGGAGGGUGAGGCAGUGGGUGGAUUUUAUUCCUAGGACCCUGGCCUGGGGAACUGGAGCAGUAAAGGCUGCCCUUAUCUGUUUCUGGAACACUUCCAGCAGUGAGAUGUAGAGACCUAACAGUGACUUAAACAAUAAAAAUGUUUUUAAUUAUCCCACAUCCUGAUAAGUCUGGAGGUGAGCCAUCUGGGGCUGGUUUAACAUCUCAAGAGUGUCAUUAAAGAUCUAGGAUCUUUCUUUCUUUUUGCGCCCCCAUCCUCAACGUAUUUGCUCGUUAUCUUCACGGUUGCAAGAUGGUUGCUGUAGCUCCCGACAUUUUCACGGCAGGAAAAAGAGGAAAGAGGUGGUCAUAGCCAUGUCUGUUCCCUUAAAUCAAGAAAAACAAAGCUUCCAGAAGAUUCCACCUAUAAGUCGAUGUCCAUCCUUAGCUUGAAGAAAACUGGAAAAGGAAGAGGUGUCCAGGGCAGCUGCUCCCUGACCCGCUGUCUGUGUCUGCCUCCCUGCCCUGUGCCUUCGAGGCGGCUGCUCCUGGAGGUGAGACCACAGUCUGUUCCACCGAGAAACCGGACCCUGCCCCUGUCUGAACAGCUCACAGCACCUUCCGGGAUGCACGGGGAGAUGCCCGGUGAUGACCCCACCCAGUCCUGGUCCUCCUGUGGCCCAGCAGUGCAGACACUCUGCGUGUCUUGAAAGACGGGGAGGAGGAGGCUGGUGGGGAAGAGUUGAGGGGUUGCAGGCCAGAGAGCUACCAGGCAGGUCAUGGUCCAGUGUGUGGUCCUGAGACCCUAAUAGCUCUCCCCCUUCCUCACAGGGUAAACUUCAGGCAAGUUACACAUUGUGCCAGCCUCCAUUCCUCACUGGUCAAAUGGAAAGGGUGAUUGUGUCUAUUUAGCAUAUAAUAAUUGUAAAUUUUGUUGUUGUUCUGUGGCUGAGUCGUGUCUGACUCUUUGCUCUCCCAUGGACUGUAGUCCACGAGGCUCCUCUGUCCAUGGGAUUCCCUGGACAAGAAUACAAGAGUGGCUUGCCACGCCCUUCUCCAGGGGAUCUUCCUGACCCAGGGAUCGAACCUGGAUCUCCUGCAUUGAAGGCAGAUUCUUUACUGUCUGAGCCACCAGGGGCUUGUUAAUUGUGUAUUUAGCAUGUAAUAAUUAUUAAACUGUUAGCGGAUACCAAGUGCUCAAUAAAGCUACGUGCUGUUGUCUGCA
ensembl:lncRNA